GAUGAACGCUGGCGGCGUGCCUAAUACAUGCAAGUCGAGCGAACAGAUGAGGAGCUUGCUCCUCUGACGUUAGCGACGGACGGGUGAGUAACACGUGGAUAACCUACCUAUAAGACUGGGAUAACUUCGGGAAACCGGAGCUAAUACCGGAUAAUAUAUUUAACCGCAUGGUUCAAUAGUGAAAGACGGUUAUGCUGUCACUUAGAGAUGGAUCCGCGCCGCAUUAGCUAUUUGGUAAGGUAACGGCUUAGCAAGGCGACGAUGCGUAGCCGACCUGAGAGGGUGAUAGGCGACCCUGGAACUGAGACACGGUCCAGACUCCUACGGGAGGCAGCAGUAGGGAAUCUUCCGCAGUGGGCGAAAGCCUGACGGAGCAACGCCGCGUGAGUGAUGAAGGUCUUCGGAUCGUAAAACUCUGUUAUUAGGGAAGAACAAAUGUGUAAGUAAAUAUGCACGUCUUGACGGUACCUAAUCAGGAAGCCACGGCUAACUACGUG
rnacentral:rRNA from 1 species